rnacentral:rRNA from 1 species
UCCCUAUGCCUGACUUGUUGCCCUGACAUGGUGUUCUGCCCCUGCUGUGUUUUGCAAGCUAAGCAGUAUUGGGCCUGUAUGGUGCUUGGAGGGGAGACCCUCCAGGAAAACCCAGGCUUCUGAGGGAA